AUACGUAGGUGGCAAGCGUUAUCCGGAAUUAUUGGGCGUAAAGAGUGAGCAGGCGGUUAAUUAAGGCUGCGGUUAAAGCGUGGGGCUCAACCCCAUAAAGCCUUGGAAACUGAUUGACCAGAGUACGGGAGAAGUGAAGGGAAAUCCAUGUGGAGCGGUGAAAUGCGUAGAUAUAUGGAAGAACACCAGUGGCGAAGGCGCUUCACUAGCCCGAAACUGACGCUCAGUCACGAAAGCGUGGGUAGCAAAUAGGAUUAGAUACCCUAGUAGUCCACGCUGUAAACGAUGACAACUAAAUAUUGCCGCGAGGCAGUGUUGAAGCUAACGCAUUAAGUUGUCCGCCUGGGGAGUACGGUCGCAAGACUGAAACUUAAAGGAAUUGGCGGGG
rnacentral:rRNA from 1 species